rnacentral:misc_RNA from 1 species
AACAUACCUAAAACGUUGUUUCGGCGGGAACAGACGGCCCUGUAACAACGGGCCGCCCCCGCCAGAGGACCCCUAACUGUGUUUUUAUAAUGUUUUUUUGAGUAAACAAGCAAAUAAAUUAAAACUUUCAACAACGGAUCUCUUGGCUCUGGCAUCGAUGAAGAACGCAGCGAAAUGCGAUAAGUAAUGUGAAUUGCAGAAUUCAGUGAAUCAUCGAAUCUUUGAACGCACAUUGCGCCCGCCAGUAUUCUGGCGGGCAUGCCUGUUCGAGCGUCAUUACAACCCUCAGGCCCCCGGGCCUGGCGUUGGGGAUCGGCGGAAGCCCCCUGUGGGCACACGCCGUCCCCCAAAUACAGUGGCGGUCCCGCGGCAGCUUCCAUUGGGUAGUAGCUACCCCCUGGCAACUGGAGAGCGGCGGGGCCAUCCCGUAAAACACCCAA